GAGCUUGGAUUCUAACUGCACAAUGACACAAAGAGAAAAAUAAAAGAGAAAGAAAAUGAGAAACCAAAUCUAGGCUACGAGAAGAUCUUGAGAAGAUCCAGAAAAGUUGAUUCCAACAAUUCGAGCAUUGCUAGUUAACCCGAAAGAAAUUAAACAAGCAUUCAAAGAACCUAAUGCUGUUUCUACCAAAAAAAAAAAUAUCUAAUGCUG
rnacentral:lncRNA from 1 species